AAAACGAGGCCUUCAAAUUUCCGGUGCAAUUAAAUGCCAGAAGGUUCGGCUAGUCAUGGUAAUUUGAAAAAUACCUAGAGAUUCUCCAGGUGCAAGUGGGAGUAGUGGCACUACACCAUGACUGCCAUUAAACAUACCCUUAACAGAGAUGUAUUUCUACCGAAUGAUGAACGCUUGAUUGGAUUUGUUCAUGUUACAAAAGUUGGACGAAAGAAGAAAACUAGCUUUCUCUGUGCAGCAUUAAGUACAGAGACUCCAGUGCAAGCGCGCGUUUACCAGGUUAAAAAGGCUGACAAAACAGAGGCCUACAAAAAGAAAGUAACAUGGCUGCUGAGAGAAUUGAAAGUAGUGGAUGGAAAAAGUUCCAGUAAGGAAACAGCAGAAUUUGAUCUCCAUUUUGAAAAAGUCUACAAAUGGGUAGCUAGCAGUGUACAUGAUAAAGAGACAUUUAUUUCAUGUCUCUGGAAGCUAAGCCAGAGAUACCUGAUCCAAAAGCCAGAUUUCCUAAAUGUUCCCAGACAUUUGUUGGAAGAGGUGAGCAGACCGACAGGAUCUGUACAGACCACUCAACAGGAGGAUGAUAUUGUCACCAUGGAGGACGAUUACCAGGCCUUGACCUCCAAGGAAGAGACUGACCUUGACCAGCUGAUGUCCGAGUGUAAGAUCGCCAUUAGUAAUGCAGAGUUGUUCGCCGAGCAGCUCUCCAAACAGCUCUCUGUUCUGGAUGGGGCCAAUAUUCAUUCCAUUAUGGGAUCUGAGGAUCAAGUUCUGAACCUUAUGAGACUUUUGGAUGAUGGGAUUCGAUCUGCAGAGACAAUUGAGGAUAAACUAGACUUUUAUGAUAGCAUUUUGCAGAAUGUCAAAGAUCAGAUGGAGGUGAUGAAAGAGAAGGACGCUCUGAUUAACACCAGGAACAAGAAUCACCAGCUUCUGCUGGAGGAACUGGACAACUUAGUGAAACAGCUGGAUAUAGACACAAGGCACCUGAAGGCCCUAACAGACGGGGAUCUGUCCACCCCUGGGGGGAUCUGUGAGUGUACUACAGCGGCCCAUAUCUUACAGCGUUGUCUUAACGCGGAUAUUCAUCCAGCACUGAAUCAAAUGGCUGCUGUUGAGGAACAACAGAGAAAAUUCACAAGGUUCUCGGAUAAAUUCGGCAAGAGAUUAGCCUAUCACUUAAAUAAUCUUUUCAUUCAGCAGGUAAUCUAGAUAGAAUAUUCAUUUGUGUAUUCAGAUCAAUUUAUAUCUGCAUGUACUUAAUAAGAAUACAUACAUGUAAGCAUAAAAAACAUUGCUUUAAUUCCAUUGAUUGUUCAUACAUACAAUUCUCUAGAUAUACAAGCUGUAUUAGAAUCUUAACUUUUCCAGGGUAAUGUGCUAGGGGAAACUCUCAGUCGUCAGGUACCAGAAUUCAAACUUCCACCGCACCACUCGGCACACCGCGACCUGACGCCGUAUGCUGACCUUAUGCUUUGGCUAAAGAACUCGGACUUUGAUUGCUUCACUCAGCUCUCAAAGGUUUAUACCCAGAAUUUAAGUAAGCUCUACAAUAAAGAAAUACAAGAUUUUUUGGAGAUGGCCAAGCAGAAAUUAGGAACCAAACCGGACAAGAAUAAAUUAGGUGUUGGACUGAGUGCACAGGCUCGAGCUCUUUCUGGCUCUUCCUCCAGUCUGAACCGGAAAAUGUCAGGCUCGGUUCAGAGUUUGAAUUCGGACAGUAUCUCGAUGCAUGGAUCCAGCCAUGAUCUUGCCAUGAGACAUCUAUUUGACCAGAUCAUUGAUAAAAUCCUCAGUGAACUUGAGCCUGUUUGUCUGGCAGAACAGGAUUUCUGUGUCCGAUUCUUCCAUCUGGCAGGGGACAUCUCUGUUAACAAGGAGGCUAAACAGGAGGAAGAAUCUGAUGAUGUAUGGAAGCCACUUCAACCUUCUGCACCUGAAGUUGUGAGACAUAUGAAUGAGGAAGUCAGAAGGAUGAUGGGAGAAUUGUUUCCAAAUCUGGAAUCAGAGCUUGAAGCAUUUGUGUCAUAUGCAGAUAGAUUGGAUGGUUUUAACUCUAUGUACAUGUUGGUAAGGAUGAGUCAGCAUGUGAACAAUGCCCAGGACACCGGUUCCUUCCUCAGCCUUAUGUUUGCCAGCUGUCUCGUCAAAAUCAAACGCAACUUUGACAAGUUCAUCGCAAACCAGAUAAAAGCCAUUCAAGAUUUUAAAGUUUCCAAGAAGAGUCGAUGUGGAAUUAUAGCCUUUGUCCAUAACUUUGAGGAAUUUGCCAACCAAGCAGAGAGUAUAUUUAAGGGCUCUGACAGACACACACAUCUGGAUAAGUCCUACAAAGCUUUGGUGGUGGUCAUCUAUGAACAAAUUGUCCGUGUAGCCAGCGAGAGCCAGAAGACACCUAAAGAUGUUGUCAUGAUGGAGAAUUUCCACCAUAUGUAUUCAACAUUGUCCACUCUGAAAAUUCCAUGUCUGGAGUCUGACCGGAAAGAGGCUAAACAGAUCUAUCAGGACAAUCUUAACAGUUACACCCUAAAUCUUUUGGGAAGGCCUCUGGAAAAAUUACAUGUCUUUUUUGAGGGCGUACAGAAUCGUGUGGCUACAGGUGUCAAACCGGAGGAGGUCGGAUUUCAGUUGGCCUUCAGUAAACAAGAACUAAGGAAAGUCAUCAAAGAGUAUCCAGUGAAAGAGGUGAAGAAAGGGCUGGAUGGAAUUUACAAGAAAACCCUUAAAGAUUUGUGUGAGGAGGAAAAUUUGCUCCAAGUGGUGUGGUUCUCCAUGCAAGAUGAGUUCAUCAAACAAAUCAAACAUUACGAAGAUCUGAUCAACCAGUGUUACCCAGAUUCUGGGAUAACCUUGGAAUUUAAAGUGGACGACGUUCUUUCCUUUUUUUCAGAGAUAGCACAGAAUCACUAAGUGGUUGUUGAGGAUGACUUGUCACUAUUAUGCAGUGAAUUUGACUAAAAUCAAUUUGAAACAGCUGUGCUUUUAUUUUCUGCUUGUUGUGCUUUCAUGUUGUAUAAAAGUAACAUUGAAAGUGAACACACAAGAAGGAGUCAUUGUAUUUUCUGCUAAAGGAACUGCAUUACAGGUGGAACAAUGUUAAGAUUGCCAAGAAAAUUUGUUAAGAAAACCUGUCGCUAAUGUUUCAGAAUCAGUGGAGUUAAACUUUUACAUAAUUAAUCUCCAUUUUUCAUACCUUUUCACCUCCAGAAACAAUUUACUAGAGCAUAUUUUCAUUAAAGCUAAAAAAAAUUGGUACGGUACUUGGUUGUUACCUAAGAGAAUUACCGGUAUAUAGGCAUUAUACAAUUUUAACAAGAGCAUUUGUAUUGUAUAAACAGUAUAUAGUUUUUAUGAAAAACCAAUAGAUGUUAAAAUGUUCCAUGCUUUGGCAAAUUGUCAACUGUUUGAUUUUCAGAAACAAUUUCAUCAUAAAGUGUGUACAUGUAUGAUGCUGAAAAUCUGAAUUGUUAAUUUUAUGUUGUCCUUGAAGAAAUGAUUUCUGUUACGGUGGUAUGCCCUGUAUGUGCAAUAAUCAAGUAUACCGUUCUUGUUAUGAAUGUACUGAAUAAUUUAUAUACAUGAUUAAUUCAUG
rnacentral:misc_RNA from 1 species